rnacentral:rRNA from 1 species
UACGGGGGGGGCAAGCGUUGGUCGGAAUUACUGGGCGUAAAGGGCUCGUAGGCGGCCAACUAAGUCGGAUGUGAAAUCCCCAAGCUUAACUUGGGAACUGCAUCCGAUACUGGAUGGCUUGAAUCCGGGAGAGGGAUGCAGAAUUCCAGGUGUAGCGGUGAAAUGCGUAGAUAUCUGGAGGAAUACCGGUGGCGAAGGCGGCAUCCUGGACCGGCAUUGACGCUGAGGAGCGAAAGCUAGGGGAGCAAACGGG